UACGUAGGCAGCAAGCGUUGUUCGGAGUUACUGGGCGUAAAGGGUGCGUAGGCGGUCCUAUAAGUCUGGUGUGAAAUCUCCCGGCUUAACUGGGAGGGUGCGCUAUAGACUGUGGGACUAGAGUGUGGGAGAGGAAAGUGGAAUUCCUGGUGUAGCGGUGAAAUGCGUAGAUAUCAGGAGGAACACCGGUGGUGUAAACGGCUUUCUGGACCAUAACUGACGCUGAGGCACGAAAGCGUGGGUAGCAAACAGG
rnacentral:rRNA from 1 species